ensembl:lncRNA LYRM4-AS1 LYRM4 antisense RNA 1
ACCGCCGGCGGCCCCGCCCCGCGAAGCCUAGCACUCUCCCCAAACCUCUCUCGCACGCGGGGACUGAGCACGGCCCGAAAAGCCGAGGACAGCCGGACUCACCCUGUAGUUAUAGUAGUGCGUCUGCACAAGAUGCCGGUGGCGCGACUUGUGGUUGCCGAAGUUGGAUUUCUCGCAAACCAAGAUGGGGUCUUGCUGUGUUGCCCAGACUGGUCUCAAACUCCUGAGCUCAAGUGAUCCACCCACCGUGGCCUCCCAAAGUGCUGAGAUUAAAGGCUACCCAUGGGGACCUCAACAGCUUUGCCAUUGCACACUAUCUUUGCAGACAAGAUCUUAAUCACAUCCAACUUUCUGCAGUUGCACAGGGUACCUCAGACCCACAUCCCAGAUGACAUUCCUCAGAAGCUCGCAGCUGGAGAUGACAUCACCUUAGACAACAUCACCCUAGCCCAAGACAUCGCUAUUAGAGAUACAUCACCUGGACACUAAAGCCUCCAACCCAGUGACACUCUCAAGGUGCUGACAAAAUGGACAUGGACAUUUGUUGCUUUUCUUCUUUUGAAUUAGGAACUCUAUUGUGUUUCCUGAAUUUACUGUCUGCUUGGCCCAUGAUCCUGGUAUGUUCCUUGCUCUCUGCCAAAACAUGCACCGUCCCCUCCACACCUAAAGGAAAACCUGGUAGAAGCUACUACUCUCAAUGCCAUUCUAAAAUUGACGAAGAGUAUUAUUUUCCCCAAGAGGCAGCUGCUGCAGGCCAGUGAAUCCUCUGGACCCUGGGGAGAGGGUCAUACACUCCCUAGUGACUUCUACUGUAUGCUCCAGCUUUCCACCAGGACCUCCUGCCCUGUCCCCAACUGUAACGACCACAACCACCCCAUCCCCUUGGUUACACACAAAUAUCACCAGUCUUUACAUGUACUUUACUGACUUCUCAGAUAAUACCCUCCAACAAGAUAACUGCAGGACUUGCCACCAUGACCUGAGAAAUACACCAAGAUAUUAUUGUCCAAUUUUUUUGAGAUAUAUAUAUAUUUCUCAUACUUUUAACAUACUCUGCAAUCCACCAAGAUAUUGGUAGAGACCCUGGAAAUUUCAAAUCUAUUUCGUCUGCUAAUGCCAUGUGAAUGGGAAACUUAGAUACAGGCUGGCCUACAAGGACUCCUUAUACUUCAAUUUUUGUUCCUCCUUUCAACUCUCAUAAAAAAUAUUUUCUGUACUAUUUAGGGCAAAUGAUGGCCUUCUUUCUAAGUCUCAUCCAUCAUUGCUGCAAAGGUGCCUUAGUUUGAUGUUAAAGUGUCACAGGGCCAAUGUAUUGACCAUGUUUCUGGCGUCUAUAAAGUCGAUGUUUUAAUAUCUGUCCUACAUGCAUACACCAAACAUUCCUUGAUCUGGAAAACCCAACAGUAUGCUUUGCUUCAGCCUCAGGCCUCCCUUGUCGCCUCCUCUGUGCCACCCCCCAUUCCUCGGGAGUCCUCCUCCUCCCAGGGGCGCACUUUUCAAAUACAAACCAACCAAUCCAGAGCCCACACCCCAACCACCUCCUUUAUUGGUCUCUCACAUGCUGGGCCACUAUCCACUUUCCCUAAUCACCCAAAGUCAGGUACCAGACAAUUAGGGACAGCCCCUAUACCCCAGAGCCUGCUGAAAUUAGCAAACUGGCCAAUCCCGAGUCUGUUUACUUUGCCUUCCUGUUUCUUCCCAAGGAAAUCACAAAAAAAGGCUCUUGUCCACA